AGGCUGCUGCAACAGGAGAUCAGAAAGCUGAGGUGGUCACAAAUCACAUAUUAAAGGUCUUAGGGUUGGAUAUCUGUGCCGAUAUAAUGAUAGGAAACAAUAUGUUGCGAGGCAUAUCAGGAGGGCAAAAAAAGAGAGUAACUACAGCUGAGAUGCUUGUCACACCCGGGCGAGCCCUUUUCAUGGACGAGAUAUCAACUGGACUUGAUAGCUCGACAACCUUCCAGAUUGUGAACUCCAUCCGACAAACAAUCCACAUUAUUGGUGGAACAGCAGUCAUUGCCUUACUACAACCUGCACCAGAGACAUAUGAAUUGUUUGAUGAUAUAAUUCUCCUUUCGGAUGGUCAUGUUGUCU